rnacentral:rRNA from 1 species
GUGGGGAAUAUUGGACAAUGGGCGAAAGCCUGAUCCAGCCAUGCCGCGUGUGUGAAGAAGGUCUUCGGAUUGUAAAGCACUUUAAGUUGGGAGGAAGGGCAGUAAGUUAAUACCUUGCUGUUUUGACGUUACCAACAGAAUAAGCACCGGCUAACUUCGUGCCAGCAGCCGCGGUAAUACGAAGGGUGCAAGCGUUAAUCGGAAUUACUGGGCGUAAAGCGCGCGUAGGUGGUUCAGCAAGUUGAAGGUGAAAUCCCCGGGCUCAACCUGGGAACUGCAUCCAAAACUGCAUGACUAGAGUACGGUAGAGGGUAGUGGAAUUUCCUGUGUAGCGGUGAAAUGCGUAGAUAUAGGAAGGAACACCAGUGGCGAAGGCGACUACCUGGACUGAUACUGACACUGAGGUGCGAAAGCGUGGGGAGCAAACAGGAUUAGAAACCCUUGUAGUCC